UGGGCAUGCGGCGCAUUAGGUAGUUGGUAGGGUAACGGCCUACCAAGCCGACGAUGCGUAGGGGUUCUGAGAGGAAGGUCCCCCACAUUGGAACUGAGACACGGUCCAAACUCCUACGGGAGGCAGCAGUGAGGAAUAUUGGUCAAUGGCCGGAAGGCUGAACCAGCCAAGUCGCGUGAGGGAAUAAGGCCCUAUGGGUCGUAAACCUCUUUUGUCAGGGAGCAAAGGCGUCCACGUGUGGACGAGAGGAGAGUACCUGAAGAAAAAGCAUCGGCUAACUCCGUGCCAGCAGCCGCGGUAAUACGGAGGAUGCGAGCGUUAUCCGGAUUUAUUGGGUUUAAAGGGUGCGUAGGCGGAGUGUCAAGUCAGCGGUAAAAUUUCGGGGCUCAACCCCGUCGUGCCGUUGAAACUGACACCCUUGAGUGAGUGAGAAGUAAGCGGAAUGCGUGGUGUAGCGGUGAAAUGCAUAGAUAUCACGCAGAACGCCGAUUGCGAAGGCAGCUUACCGGCGCUCAACUGACGCUGAGGCACGAAAGUGCGGGUAUCGAACAGGAUUAGAUACCCUGGUAGUCCGCACAGUAAACGAUGAAUGCUAGAUGUCCGGGGCGAAUGAGCUCUGG
rnacentral:rRNA from 1 species